UGCGCCUGCAGUUAAAGUGGGAGACCUUCUUUGCUGGUUUUAAGUGUUCUCCCAGCUCCCGGCACAACGCUCUUUCUCCUCCUGGAGCUUGCGCCUCCAGGCGGUGUUCCUUGGCACUGGUGGAGCAGUGGCAGCUGUGGCUGUGGAGGGGAUGUCACCGGCCUCCGCACUGACGCUGGUGGACAGGACGGCGUCCGCGCUGGAGGCUUGUGGGGUGGCUGAUGAGGAGGAGGAGUAGGCAGUGGAGGAGCUGGCGACGAUGAGGUCCAGGACCAGAAGCGUCCGUGGGCAGGCGGUGCUGGAGGGGCUGGUCUGGCUGCUCAGGCUGAUGCAGCACAGUCGGUGGGGCAGGCAGGGGCUCCGCUGCAGUCUGGGGAGUGCUGGGCUCCAGGACUGCAAUGGCGAUGGUGUCCCUCAUCAUGGCCUUGCUCCUCUGGUUGUGCCUUAAAAAACAGAAUGUAACAAAUGCACAUUAGUAAUCAUGACAUCACACACACACACUCACACAGUGCCACUUCAAAUCAGAUGUGAGAGAAAGGAUCAGGUCUUACCAUUGCGUCAGGGUCCGCCGAUUGACAUCAUAUAGCUGGAUGCGGGUGCUCGUCAUGAGGGCUGCACAACUAUAAACAUUCUCGCGAAUUGUUAGAUAGUCCCUCAUGACGGCACCCCAGCGAGGAAUCCAGACCCCGGCAAUCUUCCUGCCCUCGCUGCAGUGGAGGAUGCUGAGGUCCAGCAGGACAGCCUCCACAAGCCUCGACACAUCGGGAGACUGCGCCGAGGGCCUGGGCCAGGGCCACGACGUGCUGGUAGCUGCCUCCACCUGGCCCGAUAACAUCCUUCCUCCUCCUCCUCCUCCUCCUCCUCAGCCUGCUGCACCUCCAUUUGGUCCACGCGGGUGAGGUUUGAGGACUGAAGGAGAGCGCUGUGGUGUUCGAGGAGACGAAUCUCCUCUGGUUCCUCCUCCUCGAACUCUUCAUCACUGCCCCCCCACCCCCCCCCGGCUUCGUCCUCAUCAGUCCCUCCUGGAGCGUCAGGAUCAUCCAGGUCCUUCUGCAGCACAGCGCCCGUCUGGGAGAACAGGUACUCCACCCCAAUGAGUUCCCCUGUGGGCACACAGAGACACAGAUGUUAAAUGACAGACACCUAAGACAGGUGUUAAACGUUACCGUU
rnacentral:lncRNA from 15 species